GAUGAACGCUGGCGGCGUGCCUAAUACAUGCAAGUCGAGCGAACAGACGAGGAGCUUGCUCCUCUGACGUUAGCGGCGGACGGGUGAGUAACACGUGGAUAACCUACCUAUAAGACUGGGAUAACUUCGGGAAACCGGAGCUAAUACCGGAUAAUAUAUUGAACCGCAUGGUUCAAUAGUGAAAGACGGUUUUGCUGUCACUUAUAGAUGGAUCCGCGCCGCAUUAGCUAGUUGGUAAGGUAACGGCUUACCAAGGCAACGAUGCGUAGCCGACCUGAGAGGGUGAUCGGCGACACUGGAACUGAGACACGGUCCAGACUCCUACGGGAGGCAGCAGUAGGGAAUCUUCCGCGAUGGGCGAAAGCCUGACGGAGCAACGCCGCGUGAGUGAUGAAGGUCUUCGGAUCGUAAAACUCUGUUAUUAGGGAAGAACAAAUGUGUAAGUAACUAGGCACGUCGUGACGGUACCUAAUCAGAAAGCCACGGCUAACUACGUG
rnacentral:rRNA from 1 species